GGGCAUGUGGUGUAGUUGGUUAUCACGCUCGCUUAGCAUCUGCACUUGCGAGAGGGGUCCGGUUCGAUCCCGGACAUGUCCA